UACGAAGGGGGCUAGCGUUGUUCGGAAUCACUGGGCGUAAAGCGCACGUAGGCGGAUUUUUAAGUCAGGGGUGAAAUCCCGAGGCUCAACCUCGGAACUGCCUUUGAUACUGGAGAUCUUGAGUCCGGAAGAGGUAAGUGGAACUGCGAGUGUAGAGGUGAAAUUCGUAGAUAUUCGCAAGAACACCAGUGGCGAAGGCGGCUUACUGGUCCGGAACUGACGCUGAGGCGCGAAAGCUAGGGGAGCAAACGGG
rnacentral:rRNA from 1 species